rnacentral:rRNA from 1 species
UACGUAGGGUCCGAGCGUUGUCCGGAAUUACUGGGCGUAAAGAGCUCGUAGGUGGUUUGUCGCGUUGUUCGUGAAAACUCACAGCUCAACUGUGGGCGUGCGGGCGAUACGGGCAGACUUGAGUACUGCAGGGGGAGACUGGAAUUCCUGGUGUAGCGGUGGAAUGCGCAGAUAUCAGGAGGAACACCGGUGGCGAAGGCGGGCAUCCUGGGACCGUAACGAUC